UUUAUCAAAAACAUCGCCUCCUGCAACUAUAUUGAGUAUAGGAGGUCCAGCCUGCCCAGUGACUACGGGUUCAACGGCCGCGGUAUUUUGACCGUGCAAAGGUAGCGCAAUCACUUGUCUCUUAAAUAGAGACCUGUAUGAAUGGCUAGACGAGGGCUUAACUGUCUCCCCCUUCCGGUCAGUGAAAUUGAUCUAUCCGUGCAGAAGCGGGUAUAAUUUUACAAGACGAGAAGACCCUUUGGAGCUUAAGGUACAAAAUUCAACCACGUCAAACGACUUCACAGAGAGCAAGAACUUAGUGGCGAGUGAAAUUUUACCUUCGGUUGGGGCGACCACGGAGGAGAAAGAAGCCUCCGAGUGGACUGGGCUAAUCCCCAAAGCCAAGAGAUACAUCUAUAAGCCGCAGAACAUCUGACCAAAAAUGAUCCGGCUGAUAAAGCCGAUCAACGAACCAAGUUACCCUAGGGAUAACAGCGCAAUCCUCUCCCAGAGUCCAUAUCGACGAGGGGGUUUACGACCUCGAUGUUGGAUCAGGACAUCCUAAUGGUGCAGCCGCUAUUAAGGGUUCGUUUGUUCAACGAUUAAAGUCCUACGUGAUCUGAGUUCAGAC
rnacentral:rRNA from 1 species